AUUCCCGGUGUAGCGGUGAAAUGCGUAGAUAUCGGGAAGAACACCAGUGGCGAAGGCGCUCUGCUGGGCCAUCACUGACGCUCAUGGACGAAAGCCAGGGGAGCGAAAGGGAUUAGAUACCCCUGUAGUCCUGGCCGUAAACGAUGAACACUAGGUGUCGGGGGAAUCGACCCCUCCGGUGUCGUAGCCAACGCGUUAAGUGUUCCGCCUGGGGGGUACGCACGCAAGUGUGAAACUCAAAGGAAUUGACGGGGGCCCGCACAAGCGGUGGAGUAUGUGGUUUAAUUCGAUGCAACGCGAAGAACCUUACCAGGGUUUGACAUCCUGCGAAUCUCUUGGAAACUUGAGAGUGCCUUCGGGAGCGCAGUGACAGGUGGUGCAUGGCUGUCGUCAGCUCGUGCCGUGAGAUGUUGGGUUAAGUCCCGCAACGAGCGCAACCCACGUCUUUAGUUGCCAGCAUUUAGUUGGGCACUCUAGAGAGACCGCCGGUGAUAAACCGGAGGAAGGUGUGGAUGACGUCAAGUCAUCAUGCCCCUUACAUCCUGGGCUACACACGUACAACAAUGCUACGGACAAAGGGCAGCAAGUUCGCGAGGACAAGCAAAUCCCAUAAACCGUGGCUCAGUUCAGAUCGUAGGCUGCAACUCGCCUACGUGAAGGAGGAAUCGCUAGUAAUCGCAGGUCAGCAUACUGCGGUGAAUACGUUCCCGCCUCUUGCACACACCGCCCG
rnacentral:rRNA from 1 species